CCGAUUGGCUGCUCGCCCUGCCCGUCGCGGCCGCCGCCCUCUACGCGGACCGCCGGCCGCAGCUUCUUCUCGAGACGAGGCGCGGCGACCGUUAGUUUGCUGUGAGAUGUAUUUCAUCAGAGGAGACAGCAGACUCUCACUGAAAGAAGAAGCUAAUUCAGCAACUGUUUGCUGAGGAAUUCUAACAGCUAUGUUGCUAUGGGCUUGUGGAUUACAGUUUUGGAAAAAUUUGUUAGGGUAUUCAAACAACAUGUAUUUGAAGCAGGAUUUGGAAUAGAUAUUCAGCUCCCUGAUGAGAUCAGAAUUGUUCCUGAGUUGCACUGCUUGCUUAUUUGGAAUUUUUUAUACCUGUGCUCUUCAAGUUACAUCUGCUUUGCACAAGAGAACAUCAGUAUGCACAUCAGCAAGGAGUUGGAUCAUAUAUUUUGCCUUUUUUUCAGUUCACAUUUCAAAUAACCAUCAGAACUUGGAUAUAAGAUUGAAGUGGCUUCUUCAACGUAGUUUCUGAGAAGCAACAUGUUGAGAUCUGUAAGGCCUCUGAAUAAUUUCUGAUGUUUUUUUACACCCUCUCCGUGAUGUUGUCAUUCUUUGAUAAAGAAUAAUUGCUGAACUCUAAUUGGCCUUUCAGUAUUGGCCUAGUUAACGCUGUAAGCUUAUAUUUUUUGCUGUGAUGUAGAUUUGUUUUUGGAUCAUUUUGGAAGGUUUUUACCAUAGUGGUAUCUAAUCACAAUUAAAAAAGAAAAUGUGCUGUGGGCCUUGUGAAAUGAAAUAAAGGAGCAUAUGAAAAUUAAAUCACAGUCUGUAACUUUUCUGUGGCCUAUCAUUCCUCAAGCCUGCUGUCUUUUGGAGUAAGUGGCUUUGUUUCCCUAUUCCUUUUGACUGCAUUAAAAUUAGCUGUUUUAAUGACCCACUAGUACAACAUAUUCCAGUUCUGCAAGUAGUACCAGGUCUUUAUAAAAGGAAAAAAAAACAAUAGAGAAAUUAUUCAUUACUUGAUCAAGUACAUGAGAAGCAAUUCCUCUCAAGGUUAGCAUCCUAUGCUGUUGCUGAUACCAAUCUAUUCCCCUUUGCUGUGAGAGAUUAUAGCAGUUCCUCAUUCUAAAGAUAGUUCACUGUGUGUUGACUGUGAUAUAAGCUAAUAAUUAAAAAUAAAUUAAAAUUAGGAGCCAUUAAUAUAUUGAUAUUAAUCUAAUAACUCUUACUAUAAUAAAGCUUAUAUUGCUUUGCUUUGGUAUUGUAAUCUUGACUAUCUGAUACGCUCACUGGAAGUUGCUCCAAAUGAAAACAACUAAGCUGAGUUUCCUAUGAUUUUGCUAUGCAAAUGAAGCGAGAGUGUCUACUUAGGACAUGACAUCCAUAUCUUCACUCUUCUUAAAGCCAACUUCUCAUCAAAAUUAUUAUGUCUAAGACAUAAGCAAAAGUAAAAGUUCAAGAAGGAGAAUAUCUUUCUUCUUCAUCACAGUCAGGGACUGUUUAGAAAAAGUCAAACUAUCAUCAUCAUCAUGACCCAGAGUUUAAAAAUGCCUGAGAGGCAUCUGAAAUAAAUGUGCGCUUCCUCUGAAACAUGAUGGCUCUUUUAGUGUUUUCUGUCAGCUUCUUGAGACCGUGUGUAAGUGGGCAUUGUUCCCCUUGGGAAGGCACAAUUAAACCUUAAUACGCUGUCACAACAAGCCAUUCUGUACAAGGGGGAACUAGUAAUGAGUUUCACAAUAGCAUGCAGUUAACAAGUGGACCAGUCCUUUAGGAAAGAACUAGCAUCUUGUUCUAAAUCAAGGCUGUGGUAUACAAAUGAGAGUUAGGGAGUCAACAACUGUCAAAGCUAUGGAGCUAUGGAUUCAUUAUAGCAACUGAUUCUAUUUCUAUAUUGCAGAAUGCAAUCCCGUAUAUAGACACUCAAACUAGCUGUAAAUGACAUCAUUUUCAGAAGCUUUUCUAUGGAGGAAAAGCAAAAAAAAGAACUAGCCCACAGACCAGGAACAGUUCUGCUGUGACAGCUCACAAGUCCAUAUUUACUCAUUUUCUUUAUUAGAAGGUAUGCAAUAGCUGAUGUAGAAUUCUGUGUUGUGGCUAUGCCUGACACUCCAUUGCCUAACAUAAUUUGCUUAAGGUGCUAUCAUAUCCUACUUUAACGUCAAUUUAACCGAGAUUUAAUUUGUGUUAGCCGGUAUAAGACACUAGCUGUACAUAUCUGUUUUCUAACACACAUUCUCUGGAGACGUUUAUUACAGUAGUACAACGUAAUAAAAAAUAUGUCCUUGGUGAAGCAUGUAAUUUAGAGGAGGAAAUAAAGCAGUCUAAGUGAUCUCAUACAAGAUUUUACACUCAAGUGGAAAUAGCAUAUGGUUGUUGUAAGGAUUAACAGAAGAUUGCUUAUAGAAACAGCUUCAGCUGAGUUACUUCCAAUUAUUAAAAAUAUAUGUAGUCAUAGGACUACAUCUAGUGAAACUGCAUUGGUGAGAACUCAGUGAACAAACUAAGUUUCAUAUGUGUUUGAUCUAGAGCAGUCUUUGGCAUUGUAUUUUAUACUGGGUAGAUAUUGUUUGAGAAGUAAAGUUCUUUUUACCGUUUUCAGACUCAUUAAAGAAAUAGAGCACUUGCCUGAGGAGUUUGUUUCUAUUGAGCUAAUGAGUUCAUUUAAUGAGUUACUAACGUAAUAAGGAACUGUAUUUUGGGUAUAGAUACUACUGAGUUACUUAUUCAUUGCAAAACUUCUAAAUCAAAUUUUCAUAUAAAACCAAACUAAUAUUUUUCAAGUUUCUUUUAUCUUUGCAUCAUUUUAUUAAUACACGCGAUGGGUUUGAUUUACCAGUGUUUCAGAAUUGCUAUAUCUUUUACUCGCACUUGAGUCAAGUUAACUCAAGGUCAAUAAAAAUAAAGAGAUUUGACAGAAGUGAAUUCUCCUGCUAUUGUGUAAUAUGUACGCGUAAAAAUAAACAUAAAGUAAUAAUUAGCUAUUGUCCUCCCAUAAUAUUUAUGUACCUUCUUGGACACUUUUAGAUGAAGCAUUAGUUUUUAAACUACCAACAUCAAUCUACGAAAGCAGAUUUCUGACAUAUUUUUCAAUAAAUUCAAAUGGUUUUAUGAAUUAUAAAAAUAAACAUUGUAAUUGUAGUGUGUGUAGGUAAUGAGCUGAAAAAAUUAUUUUUAAGACUGAAGAUUAUGAUCCCGUUCAAAUAUGAAACAGUGUGUCAUAUGAAGGCAAAAGACUGAAUACUGACUCAAAUCCCAAUUAUAAUUUAUUAUAAUUUGAACUACAGGUGUGGUGUUUUGUUAUAACCAGGAUAUCAAAAAGCAGUAUGUAGACUAUAGUCUAUCCACUGAGAAUGUACAGAGUAACUCCCAGUUAUAGGAAAACUGCAAGGGGAAGAACAAUGUCUGUCCAAAGUGUGAAAUA